rnacentral:rRNA from 1 species
AGUGAACGCUGGCGGCGUGCUUAACACAUGCAAGUCGAACGAGAACGGAUUAUAGCUUGCUAUAAUUGUCAGCUAAGUGGCGCACGGGUGAGUAAUGUAUAGGUAAUAUGCCUCUUACUAAGGGAUAACAAAUGGAAACGUUUGCUAAUACCUUAUACUCCUUAUUAACAGAAGUUAAUAAGGGAAAGAUUUAUUGGUAAGAGAUUAGCCUGUAUUGUAUCAGUUAGUUGGUGGGGUAAUGGCUUACCAAGACUAUGACACAUAACUGGUUUGAGAGGAUGAUCAGUCACACUGGAACUGAGACACGGUCCAGACUCCUACGGGAGGCAGCAGUGGGGAAUAUUGCACAAUGGACGAAAGUCUGAUGCAGCAACGCCGCGUGGAGGAUGACACAUUUCGGUGCGUAAACUCCUUUUAUAUGAGAAGAUAAUGACGGUAUUAUAUGAAUAAGCACCGGCUAACUCCGUGCCAGCCGCCGCCGUAACAC